UUGACAUCGUUGAUUCUUUAACCUAAUUUAGUGAGUAAGGGUAAGGGAGGAUUGCUCCUCCCUCUGACUUCUGUUUAGAAAGCUGGUGCGCUUAUCAUCAACAGAAUGACCAGUAUGAUGACGCUCUUCAUCAUAACCCUUCUCCUUCAA
rnacentral:sRNA from 1 species